UUGAUCCUGGCUCAGGAUGAACGCUAGCGGCGCGCUUAAUGCAUGCAAGUCGAGCGAUGAGACUCCUACGGGAGCACAUCAGCGGCAGACGGGUGAGUAACACGUAGAUGACGUACCCUCAAGACGGGGAUAACGGAUGGAAACAUGCGCUAAUACCGGAUGACCUUACGAUGUCAGAAUGGUAAGGAAAGCUACGGCGCUUGAGGAGCGGUCUGCGGCCCAUCAGCUAGUUGGUAGGGUAAAGGCCUACCAAGGCGAAGACGGGUAGGGGGUGUGAGAGCACGGCCCCCCACAAUGGGACUGAGACACGGCCCAUACUCCUACGGGAGGCAGCAGCAGGGAAUAUUGCACAAUGGACGGAAGUCUGAUGCAGCGACGCCGCGUGAGUGAAGAAGGCCUUCGGGUUGUAAAACUCUUUUGAGGGGGAAGAGCGAGGACGGUACCCCUGGAAUAAGCGUCGGCUAACUACGUGCCAGCAGCCGCGGUAAGACGUAGGACGCGAGCGUUAUCCGGAUUUACUGGGCGUAAAGCGUCUGUAGGCGGAUGUGUAAGUUGGGCGUGAAAGCUCCGGGCUUAACCCGGAGAGGCCGUUCAAUACUGCAUAACUUGAGGGUGUCAGAGGGGAGCGGAAUUCCCGGUGUAGCGGUAAAAUGCGCAGAGAUCGGGAGGAACACCAGUGGCGGAGGCGGUUCCCUGGGGCACACCUGACGCUGAGAGACGAAAGCUAGGGGAGCGAACAGGAUUAGAGACCCUGGUAGUCCUAGCCCUAAACGAUGAAUGCUAGGUGUGGGAUCGAAUGGUUCCGUGCCGGAGCGAACGCGAUAAGCAUUCCGNCUGGGGAGUACGGCCGCAAGGUUAAAACUCAAACGAAUUGACGGGGCCCCGCACAAGCAGCGGAGCGUGUGGUUUAAUUCGAUGCUACACGA
rnacentral:rRNA from 1 species